GAUGAACGCUGGCGGCGUGCCUAAUACAUGCAAGUCGAGCGAACGGACGAGAAGCUUGCUUCUCUGAUGUUAGCGGCGGACGGGUGAGUAACACGUGGAUAACCUACCUAUAAGACUGGGAUAACUUCGGGAAACCGGAGCUAAUACCGGAUAAUAUUUUGAACCGCAUGGUUCAAAAGUGAAAGACGGUCUUGCUGUCACUUAUAGAUGGAUCCGCGCUGCAUUAGCUAGUUGGUAAGGUAACGGCUUACCAAGGCAACGAUGCAUAGCCGACCUGAGAGGGUGAUCGGCCACACUGGAACUGAGACACGGUCCAGACUCCUACGGGAGGCAACAGUAGGGAAUCUUCCGCAAUGGGCGAAAGCCUGACGGAGCAACGCCGCGUGAGUGAUGAAGGUCUUCGGAUCGUAAAACUCUGUUAUUAGGGAAGAACAUAUGUGUAAGUAAAUGUGCACAUCUUGACGGUACCUAAUCAGAAAGCCACGGCUAACUACGUG
rnacentral:rRNA from 1 species